CCAAUGGAUUCUCCAGAUCUGGCUAGUCUCUGCUAGUUAGGCUAAGAAUGACACCAGGUUCCCCUUGGGCCUUUUCCAACCUACUUGCUAAGCUUGGGUAAUUUCCUGGCAAAGAGACCCAGCCUGACGACCCCUUCUUGAAGCCCAAGGGUCUCCUCUUGUGAGAAACAAGAGCAGAUGGAGAACCAUCCAGUCCCCUGGGACAGCAGGACAAUCUAGACAAGCUCUUACAGAACGCCAGCAACCAGCUGCAGAGGAAACAGAAUUGGAGAAGUAGUAGGAGAGCCAAGACAGAGCAAAGCUGAUGGUUUCACAAGCCAGAAUGCAGAACUGAGCAAG
rnacentral:lncRNA from 1 species